ACCCUAUGAAAAAGCAGAAAAUAUUUGAGAGGCUGAGAUGCACCAAAAGAUAGUGACAUAAGCGGCGCUUAGGUACGGAAGCAUGAUGAGUGAUGCGUUCUUAGUUGAAAUGCCGACUUAUCCGCAUCGUUUUGGCGUCUUUCGUAGUGGAUGCGCUCCGCGAUGAUCAGAAGCCCCAUCCUUUUCUCUGCCGCUAUUCCCUCCUUUUUGCUCAUCAGAAUUCUUGAUUCUUGAUUCCGUUGACCUCUCCAUCGGCUCCGGAGUUUAGAACUGCGAGGUGAACAUGGCCGACCAGUCGGAUGGUCCUCCCAAUGCUUCUGAUGACAAACGUCAAAACUCAGGUGCUGAGAUCAUGCAGCCAACAAAUACGGAUCAACAAAAUGCCGCCGAGCCUGUUAAAACAAAGUUCAGCAACAUCAGUCUUUGUGAACUCACAACAUCCG